rnacentral:tRNA from 1 species
GCCGAGGUGGUGGAAUUGGUAGACACGCUGGUCUUAGGAACCAGUGCCUAACGGCGUAAGAGUUCGAGUCUCUUCCUCGGUACAA